AACGUAGGUGACAAACGUUAUCCGGAGUUACUGGGCGUAAAGGGCGUGCAGGUGGUCUGUUAAGUCUGGCGUGAAAGCUCUCGGCUAAACCGGGAGAGGUCGUUGGAUACUGGCUGACUAGAGGACGGUAGAGGCGUGUGGAAUUCCGGGUGUAGUGGUGAAAUGCGUAGAGAUCCGGAGGAACACCAGUGGCGAAGGCGACACGCUGGGCCGUACCUGACGCUAAAGCGCGACAGCAUGGGGAGCAAACGGG
rnacentral:rRNA from 1 species